AUACGUAGGGUGCAAGCGUUGUCCGGAUUUAUUGGGCGUAAAGAGCUCGUAGGCGGUCUGUCACGUCGGAUGUGAAAACCCGGGGCUUAACUCCGGGCCUGCAUUCGAUACGGGCAGACUAGAGUGUGGUAGGGGAGACUGGAACUCCUGGUGUAGCGGUGAAAUGCGCAGAUAUCAGGAAGAACACCGGUGGCGAAGGCGGGUCUCUGGGCCACUACUGACGCUGAGGAGCGAAAGCGUGGGGAGCAAACAGGAUUAGAUACCCUGGUAGUCCACGCCGUAAACGUUGGGCGCUAGGUGUGGGGAACUUUCCACGUUCUCCGUGCCGCAGCUAACGCAUUAAGCGCCCCGCCUGGGGAGUACGGCCGCAAGGCUAAA
rnacentral:rRNA from 1 species